AUUGAACGCUGGCGGCAGGCCUAACACAUGCAAGUCGGACGGUAGCACAGAGGAGCUUGCUCCUCGGGUGACGAGUGGCGGACGGGUGAGUAAUGUCUGGGGAUCUGCCCGAUAGAGGGGGAUAACCACUGGAAACGGUGGCUAAUACCGCAUAACGUCGCAAGACCAAAGAGGGGGACCUUCGGGCCUCUCACUAUCGGAUGAACCCAGAUGGGAUUAGCUAGUAGGCGGGGUAAUGGCCCACCUAGGCGACGAUCCCUAGCUGGUCUGAGAGGAUGACCAGCCACGCUGGAACUGAGACACGGUCCAGACUCCUACGGGAGGCAGCAGUGGGGAAUAUUGCACAAUGGGCGCAAGCCUGAUGCAGCCAUGCCGCGUGUAUGAAGAAGGCCUUCGGGUUGUAAAGUACUUUCAGCGGGGAGGAAGGCGAUGUGGUUAAUAACCUUGUCGAUUGACGUUACCCGCAGAAGAAGCACCGGCUAACUCCGUGCCAGCAGCCGCCGCGG
rnacentral:rRNA from 1 species